rnacentral:rRNA from 1 species
CAGUCGCCGCGGUAAAACGGAGGGGGCUAGCGUUGUUCGGAAUUACUGGGCGUAAAGCGCACGUAAGCGGCUUGGUAAGUUAGAGGUGAAAGCCUGGAGCUCAACUCCAGAAUUGCCUUUAAGACUGCCGAGCUAGCAGGUGAGAGAGGUAAGUGGAAUUCCGAGUGUAGAGGUGAAAUUCGUAGAUAUUCGGAAGAACACCAGUGGCGAAGGCGGCUUACUGGCUCAUACUGGACGCUGAGGUGCGAAAGCGUGGGGAGCAAACAGGAUUAGAUACCCCCGUAGUCCCUGUCUCUUAUAC